rnacentral:lncRNA from 1 species
GUAAAAGGUUUUGCCUUUUGAGUAUGUUUUUAAAUUGUGUGUUUUUUUUACAAAGUCGCCAAGUUGGCAACACUGCAUCCACGUGUGCCGAUUGACGCUUGUAGUGUCAUCCAGUGACGUUACAGUCAGUGAUUUGUUGGAGUUGUCGCCGCUUGCAGUGGAUAACGCAGCGUCAUCGUCACGUGGUCUCUGCAAAAAGACGACAAAAGAAAGAUGGCUGCCACUGUGCUAGCUACACCUUUACCCCUUCUUGCUUCUACUUUGGGAUUUUGAAGCAAAGCUGCCAUGGCGAAGCAAAGAAGGCAAAAGACUUCAGUGCAAGAUGCCCUGGAGCACAUAGUGGCUUGUAGAGACAAACCCUUUCUGGAGCAAAGGUUUAUUGACUCCUUUAAAGGGAGAGGGGUGUUCACCCACAAAGCCAUUGAACCAUCCAUGUUUGUUGUUGAAUAUCGGGGGAACAUCUUUUCUCACAAAGACACAACGCCUAAGAAGAAAUGUGCCGAUUAUCUGAACAAUUAUUUGUUUGAGUUUUCAUGGAAAGGAGCAGAGUGGUGGUAAGGUUUAUCAGACAUGGUUUAGUUAUUUACAGGUUAUUAACUUGUUUUGAAAACAACAUGAUUUAAAUGCAGUCAUUUUUAAGAGAGUUUGAAGUUUCAUUAAGAGUAUUUUGCUUUGUAGUGUUGAUGCCUCAAAAGAGGAUGGGACUCUUGGACGGCUCGUGAAUGACGAUCACAUAAGUCCCAACUGUGAAAUAAAGAACAUUGUCUGUGAGGGAAAACCCCACAUGUGCCUGUUUGCAGUGACGGAAAUAUCUCCAGGAGAGGAGAUAACUUACAACUAUGGGGACUCAUCUUACCCGUGGCGCUCAAAGGUAGGUUGUGUUAUACAAGGAGCCUUGCUUUUGAUCACUGUAAUUGAAUUAGUGAGCCACUUGCAAGUAUCAGGUACUCCUAGCUAGAACUAA